UAAGGAAUAUUGCUCAAUGGGAGAAAUCCUGAAGCAGCAACGCUGCGUGGAGGAUGAAGGGUCUAUGACUUGUAAACUCCUGUAAAGAAGGAAAAAAUUCCCAUUUGAUGGGAGAUGAUGGUACUUCUGGAGUAAGCCCCGGCUAACUACGUGCCAGCAGCCGCGGUAAUACGUAGGGGGCAAGCGUUGUCCGGAUUUACUGGGUGUAAAGGGUGCUCAGGCGGAUUUGUAAGUCAGAGGUGAAAUCUUACAGCUUAACUGUGAAACUGCCUUUGAUACUGCAAGCCUAGAGUAUGGAAGAGAGUGAUGGAAUAUCUGGUGUAGCAGUGAAAUGCGUAGAUAUCAGAUAGAACACCAAUGGCGAAGGCAGUCACUUGAUCCAUUACUGACGCUAAAGCACGAAAGCGUGGGUAGCAAACA
rnacentral:rRNA from 1 species